rnacentral:rRNA from 1 species
ACGGGUGAGUAAUACAUCGGAACGUAUCCUGGAGUGGGGGAUAGCCCGGCGAAAGCCGGAUUAAUACCGCAUACGCUCUGAGGAGGAAAGCGGGGGACCUUCGGGCCUCGCGCUCAAGGGGCGGCCGAUGGCGGAUUAGGUAGUUGGUGGGGUAAAGGCCUACCAAGCCGACGAUCCGUAGCUGGUCUGAGAGGACGACCAGCCACACUGGGACUGAGACACGGCCCAGACUCCUACGGGAGGCAGCAGUGGGGAAUUUUGGACAAUGGGGGCAACCCUGAUCCAGCAAUGCCGCGUGUGUGAAGAAGGCCUUCGGGUUGUAAAGCACUUUUGUCCGGAAAGAAAUCAUCGGGGCCAAUACCCCUGGUGGAUGACGGUACCGGAAGAAUAAGCACCGGCUACUACGUGCCAGCAGCCGCGGUAAUACGUAGGGUGCGAGCGUUAAUCGGAAUUACUGGGCGUAAAGCGUGCGCAGGCGGUGCUGUAAGACCGAUGUGAAAUCCCCGGGCUUAACCUGGGAACUGCAUUGGUGACUGCAGCGCUGGAGUAUGGCAGAGGGGGGUGGAAUUCCACGU